UACGUAGGGUGCAAGCGUUGUCCGGAAUUAUUGGGCGUAAAGAGCUCGUAGGCGGUCUGUUGCGUCGGCUGUGAAAACCCGGGGCUCAACUCCGGAUCUGCGGUGGGUACGGGCAGACUAGAGUGAUGUAGGGGAGACUGGAAUUCCUGGUGUAGCGGUGAAAUGCGCAGAUAUCAGGAGGAACACCGAUGGCGAAGGCAGGUCUCUGGGCAUUAACUGACGCUGAAGAGCGAAAGCAUGGGGAGCGAACAGG
rnacentral:rRNA from 1 species